rnacentral:rRNA from 1 species
CCUACGGGAGGCAGCAGUGAGGAAUAUUGGUCAAUGGACGAGAGUCUGAACCAGCCAAGUAGCGUGAAGGAUGACUGCUCUAUGGGUUGUAAACUUCUUUUAUAAAGGAAUAAAACGAGGCACGUGUGCCUUUUUGUAUGUACUUUAUGAAUAAGGAUCGGCUAACUCCGUGCCAGCAGCCGCGGUAAUACGGAGGAUCCGAGCGUUAUCCGGAUUUAUUGGGUUUAAAGGGAGCGUAGAUGGGUUUUUAAGUCAGUCGUGAAAGUUUGCGGCUCAACCGUAAAAUUGCAAUUGAUACUGGCAGUCUUGAGUACAGUUGAGGUAGGCGGAAUUCGUGGUGUAGCGGUGAAAUGCUUAGAUAUCACGAAGAACCCCGAUUGCGAAGGCAGCUUACUAAACUGUGACUGACAUUGAUGCUCGAAAGUGUGGGUAUCAAACAGGAUUAGAUACCCUAGUAGUC